AUUGAACGCUGGCGGCAGGCCUAACACAUGCAAGUCGAGCGGAUGACGGGAGCUUGCUCCUUGAUUCAGCGGCGGACGGGUGAGUAAUGCCUAGGAAUCUGCCUGGUAGUGGGGGACAACGUUUCGAAAGGAACGCUAAUACCGCAUACGUCCUACGGGAGAAAGCAGGGGACCUUCGGGCCUUGCGCUAUCAGAUGAGCCUAGGUCGGAUUAGCUAGUAGGUGAGGUAAUGGCUCACCUAGGCGACGAUCCGUAACUGGUCUGAGAGGAUGAUCAGUCACACUGGAACUGAGACACGGUCCAGACCCCUACGGGAGGCAGCAGUGGGGAAUAUUGGACAAUGGGCGAAAGCCUGAUCCAGCCAUGCCGCGUGUGUGAAGAAGGUCUUCGGAUUGUAAAGCACUUUAAGUUGGGAGGAAGGGUUGUACGUUAAUACCGUGCAAUUUUGACGUUACCGACAGAAUAAGCACCGGCUAACUCUGUGCCAGCAGCCGCAGUAACAC
rnacentral:rRNA from 1 species